GCUGAUGGUCUUCCCCUAAGAUACAAUGAUCUAUAUCCCUCAAACAGUGCAGUCAGGUAAGGAAGUCGAACCAAAAGGUGUGCGUAGCAAUCACCCAAAGAAACAGAUUGUUGAUGGUAUAUAAUAGAAUGGAAAGCCUUUACAGUUAGGAAGCUUGUUUCUUUGACACUCCCUUGAGGAGAGUGGAGAUCAAUAUAAAGCCCCAACCAUAACAUUCCAAUACUCACUCCCCAUCGGAUGAGAAGGUUGGUUAGGGCAUGUUUGGCUCAUGGUAAAAAUCUCUCAAUGAAAUAAAAGACGGAGUCAAAAUAAGUAAAUGUGAUAAAAAUAAAGAAUAAAAAUAAAAGAAAGAAACAACUAAAACUCGUCUAAUAAGAAACAUAUAAAAUAGUAAAACAAGUUUUAACAAUCUCCCUACUGAUUUAAAAUUUUGGUAAAAGAAAAUAAUAGGACCACCUUAUAUACCAUAUUUUUGUUAACACGUGUUGUUUGAACUUGUACUUGCAUCUAGCACUGAAAAGAUUCCACCCACAUACGUCCUAGGUGAACUUUGUUUUGAACUUGGAGCCUUGACGUGCAGGCUUCAUCAAAUCAAGCGCAUAGUACAAGGCUACAAGGCCUAGAUUAUUUUAGUUGUCUUUAACAGUCACACAUAAGUAUCUUAGCUUUCAUGAGCACCCUAGGGAAUUGCCCUGACUCUCAUAGGCUCUGACCUUACAGCCAUAUCAUAUAGAUGAGCUCUCCAAGAUGUGUCCUGCAACAUAUAUCCUGCCUUAAGGCCCUGAACUUGUUCAGAGCUUAUGUUCUUCCUUUAGACAAUCGAAUACUGACAUCAUAAGGAUGGCAUAUGGAGUUAGACACCGACUAGGUGCCCCUACCAGUCAAGCAUACAGCUUGUUUUUACCCAUCAAACCUAUUUCUUAGGAUCUCCAG
rnacentral:lncRNA from 1 species